AACGAACGCUGGCGGCAUGCCUAACACAUGCAAGUCGAACGAGACCUUCGGGUCUAGUGGCGCACGGGUGCGUAACGCGUGGGAACCUGCCCUUAGGUUCGGAAUAACUCCCCGAAAGGGGUGCUAAUACCGGAUAAUGUCUUCGGACCAAAGAUUUAUCGCCUUUGGAUGGGCCCGCGUUGGAUUAGCUAGUUGGUAGGGUAAAAGCCUACCAAGGCGACGAUCCAUAGCUGGUCUGAGAGGAUGAUCAGCCACACUGGGACUGAGACACGGCCCAGACUCCUACGGGGGGCAGCAGGGGGGAAUUUUGGACAUUGGGCGAAAGCCUGACCCAGCAAUGCCGCGUGGGUGAUGAAGGCCUUAGGGUUGUAAAGCUCUUUUACCCGGGAUGAUAAUGACAGUACCGGGAGAAUAAGCCCCGGCUACCUCCGU
rnacentral:rRNA from 1 species